rnacentral:rRNA from 1 species
CCUACGGGGGGCUGCAGUAGGGAAUAUUGGGCAAUGGACGCAAGUCUGACCCAGCCACGCCGCGUGAAGGAUGACUGCCCUAUGGGUUGUAAACUUCUUUUGUAUGGGAAGAAACCUCCGAACGUGUUCGGAGCUGACGGUACCAUAAGAAUAAGCAUCGGCUAACUCCGUGCCAGCAGCCGCGGUAAUACGGAGGAUGCAGGCGUUGUCCGGAUUCAUUGGGUCUAAAGGGGAGAUAGACGGAAGAUGUGAAAGCUCGCAGCUUAACUGUGAAAAUGACAUUGAAACUGAUUUUCUUGAGUUCGAUUGAGGUAGAUGGAAUGUAUCAUGUAGCAGUGAAAUGCUUAGAUAUGAUACAGAACACCAAUUGCGAAGGCAGUCUACUAAGUCGAUACUGACGCUGAGGCACGAAAGCAUGGGGAGCAAACAGGAUUAGAUACCCGAGUAGUC